GAUGAACGCUAGCGGCAGGCUUAAUACAUGCAAGUCGAGGGGUAGCAAGAUUGUAGCAAUACAAUUGUUGACGACCGGCAAACGGGUGCGGAACACGUACACAACCUUCCUACAAGUGAGGAAUAGCCCAGAGAAAUUUGGAUUAAUACCCCGUAACAUAGCGAUGUGGCAUCACAUUGCUAUUAUAGCUUCGGCGCUUGUUGAUGGGUGUGCGACUGAUUAGAUAGUUGGCGGGGUAACGGCCCACCAAGUCUACGAUCAGUAGCUGAUGUCAGGGCAUGAUCAGCCACACGGGCACUGAGACACGGGCCCGACUCCUACGGAAGGCAGCAGUAAGGAAUAUUGGACAAUGGAGGCAAGUCUGAUCCAGCCAUGCCGCGUGAAGGAUUAAGGUCCUCUGGAUUGUAAGCUUCUUUUAUAAUGGACGAAAAAAGGUCUUUCUAGAUCGUCUGACGGUACCUUAUGAAUAAGCACCGGCUAACUACGUGCCAGCAGCCGCGGUAAUAC
rnacentral:rRNA from 1 species